rnacentral:rRNA from 1 species
AUUGAACGCUGGCGGCAGGCUUAACACAUGCAAGUCGAGCGGGGUGAUGGUGCUUGCACUAUCACUUAGCGGCGGACGGGUGAGUAAUGUUUAGGAAUCUGCCUAUUAGUGGGGGACAACAUCUCGAAAGGGAUGCUAAUACCGCAUACGUCCUACGAGAGAAAGCAGGGGAUCACUUGUGACCUUGCGCUAAUAGAUGAGCCUAAGUCGGAUUAGCUAGUUGGUGGGGUAAAGGCCUACCAAGGCGCCGAUCUGUAGCGGGUCUGAGAGGAUGAUCCGCCACACUGGGACUGAGACACGGCCCAGACUCCUACGGGAGGCAGCAGUGGGGAAUAUUGGACAAUGGGGGGAACCCUGAUCCAGCCAUGCCGCGUGUGUGAAGAAGGCCUUAUGGUUGUAAAGCACUUUAAGCGAGGAGGAGGCUCUUUUGGUUAAUACCCAAGAUGAGUGGACGUUACUCGCAGAAUAAGCACCGGCUAACUCUGUGCCAGCCGCCGCAGUAA